AGUGAACGCUGGCGGUAGGCCUAACACAUGCAAGUCGAACGGCAGCACUGUAAGGGCUUGCUCUUACGGGUGGCGAGUGGCGGACGGGUGAGGAAUACAUCGGAAUCUACUUUUUCGUGGGGGAUAACGUAGGGAAACUUACGCUAAUACCGCAUACGACCUACGGGUGAAAGCAGGGGAUCUUCGGACCUUGCGCGAUUGAAUGAGCCGAUGUCGGAUUAGCUAGUUGGCGGGGUAAAGGCCCACCAAGGCGACGAUCCGUAGCUGGUCUGAGAGGAUGAUCAGCCACACUGGAACUGAGACACGGUCCAGACUCCUACGGGAGGCAGCAGUGGGGAAUAUUGGACAAUGGGCGCAAGCCUGAUCCAGCCAUACCGCGUGGGUGAAGAAGGCCUUCGGGUUGUAAAGCCCUUUUGUUGGGAAAGAAAAGCAGCAGGUUAAUACCCCGCUGUUCUGACGGUACCCAAAGAAUAAGCACCGGCUAACUUCGUG
rnacentral:rRNA from 1 species